CUCAGAGAUGCACAAGAUUAUACCAUGACGGGUAGGUGUCAAGUGUUUCACUAGUUCUGGAGAGGAAAUGCAAAUCGCAAAGUUGUCAGUUACUCUAGUCGGGUAAAGCACGGUAUGGCUAUCAUGGUUUGGGGCGUAAACUAUAUAUUAAAAUGUAAGAAAUCUAUCCGCAAGAUACUGCAAUAUUGAAUAGAACUUUCUGUGUGACUGGUUUCAGAACUUGGGAUCAUCUACUUGAAUAGUGUCCUAAUUAUCAAAACUGUCAGUCGCAUUUAACAGCACCUUGUUAAAACCAUGGCUUACAUCCCUCCUGCAGUCUACCAAGCAGCGUUCUAUGCCGGUUAUCAGGUCAGAAUAAUUAACAUCCAGGUGUCCCCAUGCAAGUAUGUAUCAUCCCAAGCCAUCCUAUCUCUACUGCAGUCUGGGCCUGCUCCCAACCUAGAGAAGAG